AGUGAACGCUGGCGGUAGGCCUAACACAUGCAAGUCGAACGGCAGCACAGUAAGAGCUUGCUCUUACGGGUGGCGAGUGGCGGACGGGUGAGGAAUACAUCGUAAUCUACUUUUUCGUGGGGGAUAACGUAGGGAAACUUACGCUAAUACCGCAUACGACCUACGGUUGAAAGCAGUGGAUCUUCGGACCUUGCGCGAUUGAAUGAGCCGAUGUCGGAUUAGCUAGUUGGCGGGGUAAAGGCCCACCAAGGCGACGAUCCGUAGCUGGUCUGAGAGGAUGAUCAGCCACACUGGAACUGAGACACGGUCCAGACUCCUACGGGAGGCAGCAGUGGGGAAUAUUGGACAAUGGGCGCAAGCCUGAUCCAGCCAUACCGAGUGGGUGAAGAAGGCCUUCGGGUUGUAAAGCCCUUUUGUUGGGAAAGAAAAGCAGCAGGUUAAUACCCCGCUGUUCUGACGGUAACCAAAGAAUAAGCACCGGCUAACUUCGUG
rnacentral:rRNA from 1 species